rnacentral:ncRNA from 2 species
CACCACCACUGGGGGUGUCCGUACGGACUGAGAUUGACCCUUAUCACCUGAUCUAGAUCAUACUAGCGUAGGGAAGUGGCAUAUUUUUAUA